GACGAACGCUGGCGGCGUGCCUAAUACAUGCAAGUAGGACGCAGUUGCGAACGGGUGAGUAACGCGUAGGUAACUGCCUAUUAGAGGGGGAUAACUAUUGGAAACGAUAGCUAAUACCGCAUACUAGUAGAUGGACCUGUGUUGUAUUAGCUAGUAGGUAGGGUAAUGGCCUACCGAGGCAACGAUACAUAGCCGACCUGGGAUGGUGAUCGGCCACACGGGGACGGAGAACCGGCCCCGACUCGUACGGGAGGCAGCAGUAGGGAAUCUUCGGAAAUGGGGGGAACCCUGACCGAGCAACGCCGCGGGAGUGAAGAAGGUUUGCGGAUCGUAAAGCUCUGUUGUUAAGGAAGCGGUACUUAACCAGAAAGGGACGGCUAACUACGUGCCAGCAGCCGCGGUAAUUC
rnacentral:rRNA from 1 species